rnacentral:rRNA from 1 species
GACGAACGCUGGCGGCGUGCCUAAUACAUGCAAGUAGAACGCUGAAGGAGGAGCUUGCUUCUCUGGAUGAGUUGCGAACGGGUGAGUAACGCGUAGGUAACCUGCCUGGUAGCGGGGGAUAACUAUUGGAAACGAUAGCUAAUACCGCAUAACAGUAGAUGUUGCAUGACAUUUGCUUAAAAGGUGCAAUUGCAUCACUACCAGAUGGACCUGCGUUGUAUUAGCUAGUUGGUGGGGUAACGGCUCACCAAGGCGACGAUACAUAGCCGACCUGAGAGGGUGAUCGGCCACACUGGGACUGAGACACGGCCCAGACUCCUACGGGAGGCAGCAGUAGGGAAUCUUCGGCAAUGGACGGAAGUCUGACCGAGCAACGCCGCGUGAGUGAAGAAGGUUUUCGGAUCGUAAAGCUCUGUUGUAAGAGAAGAACGGGUGUGAGAGUGGAAAGUUCACACUGUGACGGUAUCUACCA